rnacentral:rRNA from 1 species
CAGCAGCCGCGGUAACACAGAGGGUGCGAGCGUUAAUCGGAUUUACUGGGCGUAAAGCGUGCGUAGGCGGCUUCUUAAGUCGGAUGUGAAAUCCCUGAGCUUAACUUAGGAAUUGCAUUCGAUACUGGGAAGCUAGAGUAUGGGAGAGGAUGGUAGAAUUCCAGGUGUAGCGGUGAAAUGCGUAGAGAUCUGGAGGAAUACCGAUGGCGAAGGCAGCCAUCUGGCCUAAUACUGACGCUGAGGUACGAAAGCAUGGGGAGCAAACAGGAUUAGAUACCCGAGUAGUCCCUGUCUCUUAUAC